rnacentral:lncRNA from 10 species
CCAGAAGCUGCGGAAGGACCUGGGUAUUUCUCCAGGCUGGAGAUGACUUCCAGCACCGCCACCAUGUUCCGGAUCUGUGGAAAUAAAAAGCCAUUUGUCAGGUCCCUGUCCUUCUCCACUGGGAGGCUGGAACACCCUGCCCCAGCCUGCUCCAGUCUCUCCCCAACCCCAGAGCAAGAGGAGCCAGCAGCACUGAAGCCCCCACUCCAUGUCGUCUCCUACCUGCUCCCUGGGCCAACCUGGCACCCAGUGCUCAUCCUCACCUGCCGUCUGACCUCCUCCAGUGUGUGGUGUGCGGGCUGCCCCAAGCCCUCCAGUGUACAUGGUACAUACCCACCCACCUGCUGAAACCCAGGAUGCCUGUGGAACAAGAGCUGCUCCUGAUACUUAAGAUGACCUCUACUCUGCCAUCUGAUGGGAGUGGGAGAGGAGACACGGAAGAAUUCAUCGAAUAAAAUCCACAAAGCUUAAAAGAUCAAUACACAGGCCAGGCGCGGUGGCUGACACCUGUAAUCCCAGCACUUUGGGAGGCUGACGAAGGCGGAUCAGAAGGUCAGGAGUUUGAGACCAGCCUGGCCAACACAGUGAAACCCCAUCUCUAUUAAAA